CUGCAUUUGUUUUCAGGCCUUGAGAGAUUACAUAAUGAAAAUAAACAGGUCCAGAGCAGGAGAAGCUUUCAAUAUUUGAGUUCCUGAUUGUCUCACUUAAGUCUGUGAAGACUCAACAGGAGUCUGGGAAUUUCCAUGGUAGAUUAUCUGUAUUGUGGGCCCAGGUAAAGCCACAACAAGGAGACAUGCUGAAUUACUGAAACAGAAAGAUCCAAAACAGCCGGGAGUGGAUCUAAGUACUUCCAGAGCUCUGAGUGGAAGGGUAUGUUUGGCUCCAAUGAAUCAGAUUCCUCCUCCAAUAGUUUGUCUCCAAAAGCCCGGAUGUCAACCCUAUACAGAAGACUGACGAGAGUCUAGAGAGGAAGCUAAACACUUCACAGACCCUGAGUCAGGCAUCAUCUUCAUCAUCGGGAAGCUUUGUAAUGAUGUCAUAGAGUCAGGGGUCAUCUGAGGGGUCAGUCACAGAGUCAGGGGUCAUCUGAGGGGUCAGUCACAGAGUCAGGUGUCAUCUUAGGGGUCAGUUAGGUCCCUGAC